GGUAUUUUACUGUCAAACUGAAAGUAAAAGUAAAGUUAAAGACGCAAUUUUAGAGGACGCGCAGUUCGAUACUCCUGUUCCAAUUGUUUGCAGAGAUUGAGAGGUUGAAAACAUGAACACUCAAUAUCCCUACAACAGAUGAUUUAUGUGAUCAGGUUUUCUGAGUGAGAUCUGUCUGAGCAGUCCAGAUUCUGAAGAGACAUUAGACUGUAUGGAGCCUGAGGGAGACCCUGAAGUCAUGAGCAGGAGGUGAGUCAGAGAGAGAGGCUGUCUGAGGGAUAAACACUAACCAAGGUUCAGUUUCACUCUGAUAAAUACUCUACAGGACAAACUACAUACAAAUCAUAUAUACAAACCACCUUUCUGUCUAAG